CCUACGGGAGGCAGCAGUGGGGGAUCUUGCACAAUGGGGGGAACCCUGAUGCAGCGACGCCGCGUGGUUGAAGGAGUGCUUCGGCGUGUAAAGCACUAUCGGCAGGGAAGAAGCAAGACGGUACAUGACUAAGAUGCACCGGGUAACUACGUGCGAGCAGCCGCGGUAAUACGUAGGGGGCGAGCGUGAUCCGGAUUCACUGGGUGGAAAGGGAGCGGAGACGGGCAUGCAAGCGCGGGGUGAAAGCCCGGGGCCCAACCGCGAGACUGCACUUGGAACUGCAUGGCGGGAGUGCGGGAGAGGCAGGAGGAAUGCCUGGUGUAGCGGUGAAAUGCGUAGAUAUCAGGAGGAACACCGGCGGCGAAGGCGACCUUCUGGACCGCGACUGACGUUGAGGCGCGAAAGCGUGGGGAGCGAACAGGAUUAGAUACCCCAGUAGUC
rnacentral:rRNA from 1 species